CUGCAGAAAGGGAGAGUGGUGAGGGGGAAGUGAAGGAAGGGGAAGAGGAAGGGAAAAGCGAGCGAGAGGGGCAAGGAGGAAGAGGAAGCGGGGCGGAAGGGAAGCCCGGGCCGCAGACGGCGAAGAAGACAGUGGGGCUGGGGGUUGAGGCAGGAGCGAGGGCAUGCCCAAGAGAGGAAACAGGGAGGCGGAAGCAUGGAGGAAGGGGCAAGAGACAUCAUCAAAAGAGAUGAGGGGAGCUCAGGGGCCGGGAAGGAGGCACAUGGAAGAGUAUGGGAAGAAGGAGGAAUGGAGAGUCAGGGCUAGGCAUUGGGAGGGCGCCAGGCUGAGAAGAGCACAAGGACGAGGGGGUCAGGCUUGGGCCUACAUCUCCGGGACAGGGGUGGCCAUGGUCGUGGCAGCCAGGGAGGAGGAGGCGGCGGCAGCUCGGGAGUCUGCCGCCUGCCCGGCUGCAGGGUCUACGCUCUGGCGCCUGCCGGAGGUGCUGCUGCUGCUCACCUGCUCUCACCUGGACAUGCGGGCCCUCGGCUGCCUGGCCCAGGUGUGCCGCUGGCUACGGCCCUUCACCGGCUGCGACCUGUUCUGGGAGUCUUUGCUGGGCAUGAUGAGGACAUUUGCCACUUUGUGCUGGCCAGCUUGCAUAUUGUCAGUGCAGGAGGAGAUGGGAAGAUUGGCGUUGGUAAGAUUCACAGCACCUUCACUGUCAAGUACUCGGCUCAUGGACAGGAGGUGAACUGUGUGGAUUGCAAAGGGGGCAUCACUGUGAGUGGCUCCAGGGACAGGAUGGCCGAGGUGUGGCCUUUGGCCUCAGGCUGGCUGGAGCAGUGUUUACACACCAUCCAGAUUGAAGACUGAGUCUGGUCCAUUGCUAUCAGCCCAUUACUCAGCUCUUUUGUGACAGGGACGGCUUGUUGCGGGCACUUCUCACCCCUGAGAGUCUGGGACCUCAACAGUGGGCAACUGAUGACAUACUUGGGCAGUGACUUUCUCCCAGGGGCUGGGGUGCUGGAUGUCAUGUAUGAGUCCCCUUUCACACUCUUGUCCUGUGGCUAUGACACCUACGUUCGCUACUGGGACCUCUGUACCAGUGUCCGGAAAGGUGUCAUGGAGUGGGAGGAGCCCCACAGCAGCACCCUGUACUGUCUGCAGACAGAUGGCAACCACUUGCUGGCCACAGGUUCCUCCUACUACAGUGUUGUACAGCUGUGAGACCGGUGCCAAAGGGCCUGCGGCUGCCUGCACACCUUCCCGCUGACAUCAACCCCCUUCAGCAGCCCUGUGUACUGCCUGCGUCUCACCACCAAGCAUCUCUAUGCUGCACUGUCUUAUGACCUCCACGUCCUGGAUUUUCAAAACCCAUGACUGUCGGGGCCACCCCUGCCUGUGGGCCAAGGAGACCAGCGAGUCAGGGACCUCUCUUGCCUGGAGGGUACAGUGAUAGCUCCUCCCCACUGCCCCACUGUCCUCCUGGGCCUGUGACCCCAGUGCUCAGGCACCUUACACUAGAGGCUUCUGACUCCUGGGGCUUUGGGGCUUACCAGAGAUGUAGUCCCUCCCAGGAACCUGUUGGAGAGGCAGGACCUGCUGCUUUAGAGGAAUGAGGCUGAACCCAGGCUUUGCGACCCUGUUUGGCCAGAGCAAGGAUCUGGCCUGGAGAGGCCCAUCCUACAUCCCUUGUUAGAGCCACGAUAGCCUACGGAGUGAGGUGAGAUGCUCCCACCUUCCCAGAUGGUUCCUUUCUGCCCCUUCCUGGAAAGAAGGAUGAGGCUGCCAGUAGCUGGCUGGCACCAGCCAGACCUCACCCUUGAUUAACCUCUCGGGGCCAGGGGUUCAUUCCUGGGGCACCGUGGCCUGGUUUUGCCUUGAAACCAAGAAAGGGCAAAGGGAACCCAGCAGUUCUGAGUGAGUUCUGAGCCAGCCCUGACUCAAUCUGGCUGUUGAGACAUGCUACAGUUUUCAUUUUUGUAAAAAUAAAGCUUGAUUGUUCA